UACGGGGGGGGCAAGCGUUGUUCGGAAUUACUGGGCGUAAAGGGCUUGUAGGUGGCCAACUAAGUCAGACGUGAAAUCCCUCAGCUUAACUGGGGAACUGCGUCUGAUACUGGAUGGCUUGAGUUUGGGAGAGGGAUGCGGAAUUCCAGGUGUAGCGGUGAAAUGCGCAGAUAUCAGGAGGAACACCGGUGGCGAAGGCGGAUCUCUGGGCCGUACCUGACGCUCAGGCGCGAAAGCUAGGGGAGCGAACUGG
rnacentral:rRNA from 1 species